rnacentral:rRNA from 1 species
UACGUAGGGUGCGAGCGUUAGUCGGAAUUACUGGGCGUAAAGCGUGCGCAGGCGGUUCGCUGUGUCCUGUGUGAAAGCCCCGGGCUUAACCUGGGAAUGGCAUGGGAAACUGGCGGGCUGGAGUGUGGCAGAGGGGGGUGGAAUUCCGCGUGUAGCAGUGAAAUGCGUAGAGAUGCGGAGGAACACCGAUGGCGAAGGCAGCCCCCUGGGCUAACACUGACGCUCAGGCACGAAAGCGUGGGGAGCAAACAGG